AGAGAUGUGUGAUGACGCAUAUCAAUAAGCGGAGGAAAAGAAACUAACAAGGAUUCCCCUAGUAACGGCGAGUGAAGCGGGAAGAGCUCAAAUUUGAAAUCUUAAAGGGUUUCCCUUUACGAAUUGUAGUUUAAAGAAGUAUUUUCUGUUGGAGUUUCGGUAAAAGUUCUUUGGAAUAGGACAUCAUAGAGGGUGAGAGUCCCGUAUUUGACCGUUACCUUCCAGCUGUGUGAUACACUUUCAAAGAGUCGGAUUGUUUGGGAAUGCAGUCCAAAAUGGGUGGUAAAUUUCAUCUAAAGCUAAAUAUUGGCGAGAGACCGAUAGCGAACAAGUACCGUGAGGGAAAGAUGAAAAGAACUUUGAAAAGAGAGUUAAACAGUACGUGAAAUUGUCAAAAGGGAAGCGUUUGACACCAGUGUUGUUUAGUUCGAAAAUCAAUUACAAUAUUUUUCGAUUUUAAGUAGUUAUGACCUUCAUCAGCUUGCUGCUUUCUUUAUCGGAAACUUAUCUUAAUGCACUUUUCAGUUAACAAGUCAACAUCAAUUUCUUUUGUUGUAAAAGGGUAUGAGGAAGGUGGCUUGGCUUUCGGAUAAAGUGUUUAUAGCCUUGUACCUCUGCAAUCGGAGAGAUUGAGGUCUGCAGCGUAGAUCCUUCGGGGUUAGAUACAUUUGUGCUAAGUUAUAGCUUGUCAUAGACAACUUGUUGACUAUGUUCAGUCAUUGUAGCUUACUCGCUUAUCGCUAUUUUACCUACGCUUAGGAUGUUGAGUAGCGACAUACGCAC
rnacentral:rRNA from 1 species